rnacentral:ncRNA from 1 species
AAAGUCCACUGCAAUGAAGGAUUAGCAACCCACAUUGGCCCCGAGCCGUGCAUUGACCUCCGCGAGGAGAUCGGUGAAGCGUCGGCAGGGGAGUACAUAGGCCAGCCAUUGAGCCGCGAAAACCCGAUUAGUUCCGGGUGCUGACGUGUUCAAAAUCACGGAAAGCAACAUGGGCGGUGCGUUAUGCGAGCAUUUGUCCAACCCGGCGUGGUCGAAGAACC